rnacentral:misc_RNA from 1 species
GAUUUGAACCCCCCAGUAGAAGGUUGGAUUGGCUUGUUGACGGCUCCAGUUCAGCGUGUUGUGAGCUGCAGGGAGUACUUGACGCAGUGACGCUUCUUUAUGAGCGAUGCAGUGGACAGCCUGGCGAAGGUAGCUUGUGGAACUGGCCCCUCGUGUCGAUCAGCCGCCACCUUCCCUGCACUGCUACCAACGGAGCCCCCUGCGGGGACUGUUUUCAAUAAAGAGAAGCAGGACAAGCAUUAAAGACUACGUACCUUUCAUCUUGGGUCUACUGUCAGGGGGGUGGUGCAGGUGACCCGUGCCGUAACAAGGGAAGCUGCAAGAAGCCGUCAAACCUGGACCCGCAUUCAGAAACUCGUUGCUCUCACACCACAACUGUUUUCAAAGGCCACAGAAUUGAAUAAUCGUGUUCUUAAGACUGUUUCGACUGUUAGUGAUGCAGAAACUGUUAAUCUCCUCAUUAGAUCUUUCAAAAUUGUGUAUUUCUACCACUCACAAAGACUGUUUUCAAAAGGCUCUGGCCAUUGAUCUUCAGAGCUUCAUAGACCUUUUCCUAAUAUAAAUAAAACCGUCUAAUUACACAAAGAAUUCAUGAUAAAAAUACGUUCCAGUACUGAAGGGAUU